rnacentral:lncRNA from 10 species
GGGCAAUGGCUUGGGUCUUCAGAACAUCAGUAGGCACUAAAGGCAUUUAAAGAUGAAAGGAAAUACCUACACUCUCUUCUUAACAGCUGUAGUCUCAGAAUCAGCACUCUGCUUCAUAAACAGAAAUGGGGAGAAAUGAGAUAAAAUAAUGUUAAUAAAAAAAGUUCAGGGGAACAACAGAAACAAGAGGAAAUAUACAAAGCAGGGGGUUGUGGAAGCAUCCUUACAUUGUCACCCUAGUGUUGUGACUCCAGUAUGGGGACAAUUAGAACCCCAAUGAACACUAUUCCGGGACCAGAGAAAAUGUAAUAGGAUAAUUAUGCCGCAAACUAUGAUUGUUAUGUUUAGAAUUCCUGCCUAGGAAAGGAGAUAUAGGAGUGCAUUGAGAGCUCUCCUACUGUGAUCUGAGAAUCAAACACCUGCAUUAGCAUCACCUGGGUUCUUGUCAUCAUUAUUCUUGGGCCCUACCUGAGACCUACUGAAGCAGAAGCUCUGAGAUCAGCGUCUGGGGAUAUGCAUCUUAAACAAAUUCCCCAGGAGGUUCAUAUUCACAAUGAAAUUUGAGAAUGACUUGCUUAGAGGAUAACUAAGAACACAGAUAUUAUUUUACCUGCCUCCUAAUAUCUUUUCUUGUGUUUAUCUCCUUGUGCUUUGACUGAUGAGAAAUCAAGUAGCACUAAAGGAUUCCAUGGUAAACUCAGAAAAUCUCUGCGAAACAGAAGUUUACUUUCCUACUGUGUCUUCACGGAAGAAGCCAGCUUGACAUAUGGAGGACAUUUCAUAAGUCCCUAUUAAG